rnacentral:rRNA from 1 species
AGGGAUUUCGGUCCUGAGUAUAGUGGCGCACGGGUGAGUAACACGUGAAUAAUCUACCUCCGAGUGGGGAAUAACCAAGAGAAAUCUUGGCUAAUACCGCAUAACACUUACGAGUCAAAGCAGCAAUGCGCUUGGAGAGGAGUUCGCGGCAGAUUAGUUAGUUGGCGGGGUAAUGGCCCACCAAGACGAUGAUCUGUAUCCGGCCUGAGAGGGCGCACGGACACACUGGAACUGAAACACGGUCCAGACUCCUAC